rnacentral:rRNA from 1 species
UACGUAGGUGGCAAGCGUUGUUCGGAAUAACUGGGCGUAAAGGAUGCGUAGGCGGUUAAACAAGUUAUAUGUUAAAUAUAUAGGCUUAACCUGUAGAAAGCAUAUAAAACUGUUUAACUAGAGUGCAGGAGAGGUAAGUGGAAUUCCUAGUGUAGCGGUGAAAUGCGUAGAGAUUAGGAAGAACACCAGUGGCGAAGGCGACUUACUGGACUGUAACUGACGCUGAGGCACGAAAGCAUGGGUAGCAAACAGG